rnacentral:RNase_P_RNA from 1 species
AGAGUCGAUCGGACAGUCGCUGUCUCUUUUUGUUCCGGCAAGAAGGGAGGGAGGAAAGUCCGGGCUCCAUAGGGCAAAGUGCCAGGUAACGCCUGGGAGGCGUGAGCCUACGGAAAGUGCCACAGAAAAUAACCGCCUAAGCGCUUCGGCGCCGGUAAGGGUGAAAAGGUGCGGUAAGAGCGCACCGCACGGCUGGCAACAGUCCGUGGCUAGGUAAACCCCACUUGGAGCAAGACCAAAUAGGGAUCCAUUGGCGUGGCCCGCGCUGGAUCCGGGUAGGUUGCUAGAGGCAGUCAGCGAUGGCUGUCGUAGAGGAAUGGCUGUCCUCGACAGAACCCGGCUUA